rnacentral:rRNA from 1 species
GAUGAACGCUGGCUACAGGCUUAACACAUGCAAGUCGAGGGGAAACGGCAUUGAGUGCUUGCACUGAAUGGACGUCGACCGGCGCACGGGUGAGUAACGCGUAUCCAACCUUCCCGUUACUGCGGGAUAACCUGCCGAAAGGCAGACUAAUACCGCAUGUUCUUCGAUGACGGCAUCAGAUUCGAAGCAAAGAUCCGUCGGUAACGGAGGGGGAUGCGUCUGAUUAGCUAGUUGGCGGGGCGACGGCCCACCAAGGCGACGAUCAGUAGGGGUUCUGAGAGGAAGGUCCCCCACAUUGGAACUGAGACACGGGCCAAACACCUACGGGAGGCAGCAGUGAGGAAUAUAGGUCAAUGGGCGGAAGCCUGAACCAGCCAAGUAGCGUGCAGGAUGACGGCCCUACGGGUUGUAAACUGCUUUUAGGCGGGGAUAAAGUGAGGGACGCGUCCCUUUUUGCAGGUACCGCAUGAAUAAGGACCGGCUAAUUCCGUG